rnacentral:misc_RNA from 1 species
AACCAUUCUCACCUGCGGCUAGACCUGCGGAGGGAUCAUUACAGAGUUGCAAAACUCCCUAAACCAUUGUGAACGUUACCUAAACCGUUGCUUCGGCGGGCGGCCCGGGUCCUUCCCGGCGCCCCUCGGCCCUCGCGGGCGCCCGCCGGAGGUAAACCAAACUAUUGCAUUGUAUGGCCUCUCUGAGUCUUCUGUACUGAAUAAGUCAAAACUUUUAGCAACGGAUCUCAGAUCGGAAGA